rnacentral:rRNA from 1 species
GAUGAACGCUGGCGGCGUGCCUAAUACAUGCAAGUCGAGCGAACAGACGAGGAGCUUGCUCCUCUGACGUUAGCGGCGGACGGGUGAGUAACACGUGGAUAACCUACCUAUAAGACUGGGAUAACUUCGGGAAACCGGAGCUAAUACCGGAUAAUAUAUUGAACCGCAUGGUUCAAUAGUGAAAGACGGUUUUGCUGUCACUUAUAGAUGGAUCCGCGCCGCAUUUGCUAGUUGGUAAGGUAACGGCUUACCAAGGCGACGAUGCGUAGCCGACCUGAGAGGGUGAUCGGCCACACUGGAACUGAGACACGGUCCAGACUCCUACGGGAGGCAGCAGUAGGGAAUCUUCCGCAAUGGGCGAAAGCUUGACGGAGCAACGCCGCGUGAGUGAUGAAGGUCUUCGGAUCGUAAAACUCUGUUAUUAGGGAAGAACAAAUGUGUAAGUAACUAUGCACGUCUUGACGGUACCUAAUCAGAAAGCCACGGCUAACUACGUG